AUAUAACUGAUUUAUAUAUAUAGAUCAGUGACUGAAACUCCUGGAAAUAAGUGACUGCCCGCCAGUAAACCCAUGUGAUGAACAGGAAGUUGUAGGGCCAUAUCCGCCUAUGUUAUGCACACAUCACGGCAGGCAGACGAGUCGCUGGAAGACUGCGGUCCCUGGUGUCAUAGUUUACUUCCUGGAGGAGGAUGCUUUAGCAAUUUCAGCAUUGGACUUGUUCCCAUCCUUUUUGGUCGCCUCUCCUGCACUUGCUGUUUGGAAGUCAUUGCUUGCAUCUGAUUCAGGACCUGUCAUUCUGCAUUUCUGUUUUCAUUCGCUUUGCUUACAUUUUGAACCCUUAGCAAUAAUAAACGUUUUCUAUUUGGGCUAUAGUUGUACAUUCAAGUUUGUUUUUUCUUGAUUGAAUGUGUUUGUGUGGAUAUGCAACAAUUAUUUAUUUUAUAGUACUUCAUUGAUGGAAAUUUGCAAAAAUUCUGAAUUAAAAAAAACACAUUAACAUUGUUCUUAAUUUGUAUUGUCAUUGUUUUAAUCAGUUAAUCUAUAACUGCACAAUGGUGGUGCACUAUUGCCUGAUUUUGUGUGCAUUGUGAUUUAGAUUAUGCAAC